rnacentral:ncRNA from 1 species
AAUAAAGUUUUAUUGUAGCUUGAAAUUUGAGUUUGUUUAUGUUUUAUAUGUGAAUAAUUUAAUUUUAAGAAAAACUUUUUGCAGUAGAAAUUAUUAUAAAUUAAGUGAUUUUAGAUUUAGCAAUAAACAACAAUACUAACAAAACUUGUGCCAGCAGUUGCGGUUAUACUUGUAGUGUAAUUUAAUUAUUAUUGGUUUUAAUAAAUUUGUUUUUAAAUUAUUUUUUUAUUUAAAUUUUUAGGUGAAAUUUUGUUUUGGGUAUAAAAUAUUGUUUAUGAUUUUAGGAAAUUUUGGCUUUAAACUAGGAUUAGAUACCCUAUUAUUUUUAAUGUUUUAUUUUACCUAAUUAGUAAUAGUAAGUUCUUGAAAUUUAAAAAAUUUGGCGGUAUUUUAAUCUUUUCAGAGGAACCUGUUCUGUAAUUGAUAGUCCACGAUUAAUUUUACUUAAUUUAUUUGUUUGUAUAUCGUUGUAGGUUGAAGAUUUUUUUAGAAUUUAAAUUUUCAUAAUUUUUUAUAAUAAAGGAUAUCAAAUCAAGGUGCAGCUUAUAGUUGAGUAGUAAUGGGUUACAAUAAAAUUAUUUAUACGGAUAUUUAAAUGAAAUUUUAUAUUUGAAGGAGGAUUUGGGAGUAAUUAAAUAAAUUUAUAUUUAAUGAAUUUAGCCCUAAAAUAUGUACAUAUCGCCCGUCACUCCAACCCUAAGGUUGGAUAAGUCGUAACAAAGUAGGUGUACUGGAAAGUGUACCUAGAAUAGC